AUUGAACGCUGGCGGCAGGCCUAACACAUGCAAGUCGAGCGGAUGAAGGGAGCUUGCUCCUGGAUUCAGCGGCGGACGGGUGAGUAAUGCCUAGGAAUCUGCCUGGUAGUGGGGGAUAACGUCCGGAAACGGGCGCUAAUACCGCAUACGUCCUGAGGGAGAAAGUGGGGGAUCUUCGGACCUCACGCUCUCAGAUGAGCCUAGGUCGGAUUAGCUAGUUGGUGGGGUAAAGGCCUACCAAGGCGACGAUCCGUAACUGGUCUGAGAGGAUGAUCAGUCACACUGGAACUUAGACACGGUCCAGACUCCUACGGGAGGCAGCAGUGGGGAAUAUUGGACAAUGGGCGAAAGCCUGAUCCAGCCAUGCCGCGUGUGUGAAGAAGGUCUUCGGAUUGUAAAGCACUUUAAGUUGUGAGGAAGGGCAGUAAGUUAAUACCUUGCUGUUUUGACGUUACCAACAGAAUAAGCACCGGCUAACUUCGUG
rnacentral:rRNA from 1 species